GACGAACGCUGGCGGCGUGCUUAACACAUGCAAGUCGAACGGUAAGGCCCUUCGGGGUACACGAGUGGCGAACGGGUGAGUAACACGUGGGUGAUCUGCCCUGCACUUCGGGAUAAGCCUGGGAAACUGGGUCUAAUACCGGAUAGGACCCUGGGAUGCAUGUCCUGGGGUGGAAAGCUUUUGCAGGGUGGGAUGGGCCCGCGGCCUAUCAGCUUGUUGGUGAGGUAAUGGCUGACCCAGGCGUCGACGGGUAGCCGGGCGGAGAGGGGGACCGGCAACACUGGGACUGGGACACGGCCCAGACUCCUACGGGAGGCAGCAGUGGGGAAUAUUGCACAAUGGGCGCAAGCCUGAUGCAGCAACGCCGCGUGCGGGAUGACGGCCUUCGGGUUGUAAACCGCUUUUAGUAAGGAAGAAGGGGCUUCGGCCUUGACGGUACUUGCAGAAAAAGGACCGGCUAACUACGUGCCAGCCGCCGCAGUAA
rnacentral:rRNA from 1 species